AGCGAACGCUGGCGGCAGGCCUAACACAUGCAAGUCGAACGAACUCUUCGGAGUUAGUGGCGGACGGGUGAGUAACACGUGGGAACGUGCCGUUUGGUUCGGAAUAACUCAGGGAAACUUGUGCUAAUACCGAAUGUGCCCUUCGGGGGAAAGAUUUAUCGCCAUUAGAGCGGCCCGCGUCUGAUUAGCUGGUUGGUGAGGUAACGGCUCACCAAGGCGACGAUCAGUAGCUGGUCUGAGAGGAUGACCAGCCACACUGGGACUGAGACACGGCCCAGACUCCUACGGGAGGCAGCAGUGGGGAAUCUUGCGCAAUGGGCGAAAGCCUGACGCAGCCAUGCCGCGUGAAUGAUGAAGGUCUUAGGAUUGUAAAAUUCUUUAACCGGGGACGAUAAUGACGGUACCCGGAGAAGAAGCCCCGGCUAACUUCGUG
rnacentral:rRNA from 1 species